rnacentral:rRNA from 1 species
UACGAAGGGGGCUAGCGUUGUUCGGAAUUACUGGGCGUAAAGGGCGCAUAGGCGGUGUGUCAAGUCAGGCGUGAAAGCCCCGGGCUCAACCUGGGAACCGCGCUUGAGACUGGCACGCUCGAGUUCGGGAGAGGAUGGUGGAAUUCCCAGUGUAGAGGUGAAAUUCGUAGAUAUUGGGAAGAACACCGAUGGCGAAGGCAGCCAUCUGGACCGACACUGACGCUGAGGCGCGGAAAGCGUGGGGAGCAAAACAGG